GAUGAACGCUGGCGGCGUGCCUAAUACAUGCAAGUCGAGCGAACGGACGAGAAGCUUGCUUCUCUGAUGUUAGCGGCGGACGGGUGAGUAACACGUGGAUAACCUACCUAUAAGACUGGGAUAACUUCGGGAAACCGGAGCUAAUACCGGAUGAUAUUUUGAACCGCAUGGUUCAAAAGUGAAAGACGGUCUUGCUGUCACUUAUAGAUGGAUCCGCGCUGCAUUAGCUAGUUGGUAAGGUAACGGCUUACAAAGGCAACGAUGCAUAGCCGACGUGAGAGGGUGAACGGCGAAACAGGAACUGAGAAACGGUGGAGACGCCGGAGGGAGGGAGCAGUAGGGAAGCUGGCGCAGUGGGAGAAAGCGUGACGAGGUAUCGGAGCGAGAGUGAAAAAGGAUGACAGUUCGUAAAGCUCUGUUGGUAGGGAAGAAUGAUAGCGUAGGAGGUAUACGCGGUAGAGACGGUAAGAAGCCAGAAAGAAGCGGCCAACUACGUG
rnacentral:rRNA from 1 species